rnacentral:rRNA from 1 species
UACAGAGGCCUCAAGCGUUGUUCGGAUUCAUUGGGCGUAAAGGGUGCGUAGGCGGCGCGGUAAGUCGGGUGUGAAAUCUCGGAGCUUAACUCCGAAACUGCAUUCGAUACUGCCGUGCUUGAGGACUGGAGAGGAGACUGGAAUUUACGGUGUAGCGGUGAAAUGCGUAGAUAUCGUAAGGAAGACCGGUGGCGAAGGCGGGUCUCUGGACAGUUCCUGACGCUGAGGCACGAAGGCCAGGGGAGCAAACGGG